GCUUGUUCAUGACUCCUGGGCAAGCCUAGGGCAAACUUCACCUACCCUGCUUGUGGCCAGGCUGCUCUGCACCCCGUGUACAUCCACAGCACAGAGCAGUGGCCCUUGUCUCUUUGAGGCCUCAGAUGGUGCCAUGAUGCCCCUCAAAUACGAUCAAUAUGCUGCUGGGCAUUUUCCAGGCCAGAGGGUGUAACAGCUUGAGAAGGACCAUGUUGCAGUCCACUUUCACAGCAUGGCACAGAGUGUGACACCAGCGUGGGAAGAUGGAAUGUGUUGGAGAGAGAUCUCAUUGUACUGAUCCAAACCAAAGCCAGGGUGUGACUGAGGAGAGAAUCCUUGAACCUCAUGCAUUCUGUCCCAAAAUGUGCAAAGCCAAGCAGGGUGAGCUUUGAAAUCAAGUUGAUGUCGGCAGUAAUCCAGAGAAGAAUUAACAAAGGCUUCAAAGUUAAAUUAUCCAAGAUAGCAUGUCAAGCCAUUGAAUUGCAGUUCAGCAGCAUGCCAAAAUAUUCCAGGAUGUCUCUUAUGAUGUAUUUCAUUGUUUCUUAUAAUUUGAGUAGUAGGAAAGUGAUUAAAAAUAAGACUGCA